rnacentral:lncRNA from 1 species
GUUCCCUCUGUAUUUAGCUGCCUUCAGGGCAGGCAGGAAAACAAGACCUAGUCUCCGUUGCCAUGGGUUGCUAUAACAACCGCUGCACGCUCAGCAUUGCCUCCUCCCAUCCAAACACUCUCCCCUAUGUUUGUAUCUUUUGUUCUUUUGCCGAUUCUCCACUUCGGUCGCUCCCCACCCUCACCUCCCGCUGGGAAAGAAGAUCCUGAGGUUGGAGAUGAAUUAGUUUAGGGCUGGAGGAGGGAAGGUGUACAUUUAAUGCAUCUCCUUGGCGCUUGCUGACGGAAAAGGCGCAGCCCGAAGUGAUUAAACACCUCUGGAGGCAGGACUCGUGGUGGUGGUGGUGAAGUCAUGUCUGAUAAUGGCUCUGAGGAAUAUGAGGAGGAGGAGAAAUUGCCUUAUCUCGGGGAAUAUGAAGGAGAACGCAAUGAGCAAGGUGAACGGCAUGGAACUGGGAAAGCAACAUUGCCCAAUGGGGAUACAUAUGAAGGGCAAUAUGAACAUGGUAAAAGACAUGGUCAGGGGACCUACAAAUUUAAGAAUGGUGCUCGAUACAUUGGAGAAUACCAAGAAAAUAAAAAACACGGCCAAGGCACUUUUUUCUAUGCAGAUGGAUCACAAUAUGAAGGUAAAAUUGAAUCCUAAGUUAAAUAUUAUUGUUUCAACGUAA